GACCCCAAAGUGUUAAGAGUAAAGGGGACAAUAGGGAAUCAAGAGGCUAGUGACGGCUAGUAACUGUGUGCAUUAGAGAUGUGCUUAGGUAUGUUGACCUGAGCUUGGGGACAAUAGUAGGCAGGCAGGAACAAGGAGGGGACAGACGGGCCAUCUCCGCCUCCUUCCUCCUCUGCCCUCCCCACCCCAACAGCCACUACUUGAUGUGUCAGCCAGUGGAGCAGAAACCACAGAUACUUCCUCAAAGCAGCAGCCUAAACUCAGAGCCCACUCACCCCCUGAAGCCACAUCACCCCCUGAAGCUAUGGGAAGCAAUCAGGACUUCCGAAACCUCCAAGCUAAGUUCCAGGCCUCUCAAGAGCCUGGAGAACCAUCCAGAAAACCCAUAAAGCCUGAGUUCAACAAACUCCUGAAGAAGUUUCCACAGACUGAGUUAAGUGAGCAGCCCAAGAAGGCCUCACAGUCUGAGCUCAGUACAGUGUCCUUGAAACCCCUGCAGCUGCAGUUUGCUGACAUCCCCAGGACCUCACAGUCAGUUCUCAGAACGUCACCGCAGCCUGAGUUCACUGAGCAGCCCAAGAAGCCUCUACAGUCUGAGCUCAGAGAUCUCCCAAGGAAGCCUCCACAUCCAGAGUUCACUGGUCUCAAGAAGCCCUCACAGGCUGAGUUCACAGAUUCCAAGAAGCCCCCACAGCCCCAGUUUGCCAGCCUCCCUAAGCCCUCACAGCCUGAGUUCACUAAUCUCCCCAAGAAGCUUCCCAAACUCGAGUUUGGUGAACUCACCAAGAAGUCUCCACAGCUUGAGGCAUCCCAGGAGCCUAGUAUACCUACCCAGAAGCCCCUGAAAUCUGAGCUCAGCAAUCCUGCCAGACCCCCAGUAGAGCUCAAACCUACCACAUUUCCCAAGAAGUUCUGGAAGCCCGAGUCCAGUGAGGCCCCUCUGAAGUCCUUGUCAUUUGAGUCCAGUACUUUUCCCAAGAAGCCACUGCAGCCUCAGGCUGCUGGUUCCUCUAGGACGUCCCUGACACAGGUAGAGUCCAGCGAAGUUCCUCAGACAUCCAAGCCUGGGUCCAGUGAGUUUUACCCCCACUCGCCAGAGCCUGAUGUCAGUACCUUUCCCAAGAAGUCCCUGCAGUCUGAGCUCAGUGAGAAUUUCAAGAAAUCUCCAUCUCUUCAGGCCACUGGUUACACAAAGUCUCCACAGCAGCCCAUGUCCUAUGAGGUCCCCCAGACACCCUCUUGGAAGCCUGAGUCAUGUAAUCCCCCAUCUCACUCCCUGCAGCCGGACUUCCAGGCACUGCCCAAGAAGCAUCCACAGCUCCAGCUAAGUGACCUUACCAGGACAUCCUCGGAGCCCGAAGUCUGCAAAUUUCCCAAGAAGCCUCAGCAGCCAGCCCCCAAAGUGCUUUCUAAGAAGCCCUCGCAGCGGGAACUGGGUCAUCUCCCUAGAACAUCCUCAGAGCCUGAGUUCAGUUCACUCCCCAAGAAGUUUCUGCAGCCUCAACAUGGCAAGUUCUUCCAGCCUGACUUUCCCAAGGGUCUGCCCAGAAAGCCCAAACUUCCUGGUUCAGUAUCUGAGUGCUCCCUGGCCUCUGCCUUUGAGGGUUUCAGCCCCCAGUUCCCCCUCAGCCCUGGGUAUGGAGUCUCUCGGACACCCAAUUGGAGAUCAGAAGACUUCCAAGUCCAGCACCCGCCCCAGCGAAGGCCUUUGCCUUCAGCCAGCAGCCUGGGAUCUCCUCCAGCCAAGCCCCCAUUACCACCUGUCCCCAUCAAUAUCCAAAGCUUCCGGAGAGCCUCAGCAACAGCCACAGCUGUACUGAAGACUGGCUCUUCUGGGACCCACUUCCCAGCCCAACCUCAACAGAUCCUGCAGAACCCGGACGAGAUCUAUGAGCUGUAUGAUGCUGUGGAAGCCACAAGUGACUCUAGUCUCAGCCCCAGAGGCAGAGCAUUUAGGCAGCAGGAUGAUCUGCCUUGGCUACUCAGCAACCAAGACCAGCCUGGAUGAGACCCUGCAAACAACCAAAGCAAAUGCCACCCACCAGGUUCCUUGCAGUUCAUCUCAAGAGAAUGUACCAGCAAAAUGUAUACAUGCAGCAGCAGGUUUUCCUUUAUUCUAAGUCAGUCUGAGGGGCUCCACGAUUGGUGUCUCUAUGGCAACAGCAUGGGGUUUUAUGAACGAGCUUUGAUGAUUUGUAGCCAAGGGAGUUACCCCAUUGCCAAUAAGGAUGUUCAAGGAUCUGAGACUAGGCCUAGCCAGCUAAGCGCCCCCACCCACCAGCUAUUCCAUUUUACUAGCUUACUAGGGCUCCUAGGAGGGUCUUUUGGCCUUGGGAUGCUGGAGGUCCUGAUACAAAGCCAGAUGCUUUCAAAUUCUCCAGCCCUUGCUCCUUUCUGGGUCCUUUUUGUUUGCUUCUCCUGGUUCAUCAAGAGAAUGCCCAUAGUGCUUCUGUGGAGGGGGAGCUCUAUACUUGGGGGAGGGGUCACGGUUCAAGAUCAUGAUCAAACAUCAGACCCCUGAAUUUCUCCUUUCAGUGCAAUGUGUGAGCCUCCCUGUGGCGCAGAGCCUCUCAAAGUCCGUUCUGAGUAUUUCAGAGUCAUCUUUCUAGUACCAGAGUGGCCUGGGGACCACCUAUUCUUUGGUUCCUUUGAAACAUGGCAGCCCCCCCACAUCUUUUGUCAAUUGGGAACUCACAAGGAAGGCCAGGGUUCAGCCUUUCCAGGAUUAUAUGUAGACCACCAGUGGCCUGCUCAGAACAAGCUGCAGGAUGACCCAGAACUAGAGAGCCCAGUACUGUCACAGUCAAGUUUGCUUCUAGCUGUGAGACCACUCAAGGCUGAGGCAGAUCAUGAGAAAAAGCAGGUGCAGUACAGGUUGAGUAGGACCCAGAUCUCUGCCUACAGAGUAGAAAUCAAGCUUAUCACUGACUUAGUAUGACAGUCACCCCUCUGUGGGCUAUAAUCAGAAAGGAUAGUUGGUCCAAAGUGACAUUUGGGUCAUCAACAAAAUGGGACCUCUGAUUCAGAUCCUCACUAACCCCGAUCUUGAAGAGGCUGUCACCCAAGCCUCCAGCCAACAGUUGGUCUUAUUCUGGAAGCCUGUCCUACUGCUGGGAAGUGAUACAAGUCAACCCUCUGGGAAACCCUACCAUUCAGUCUCAGCGGCAGAAGGUUCAGGCUAAGAACUCCACCCCAGGGACGUGGUGGUGGUGUGUGCCUUUCCCGGCAUUUGGGAGGCAAAGGCAGGUGGACCUGAGUUCAAGGCCAGCCUGGUCUACAGAGUGGAUUCCAGAACAGUCAAGUCUACACAGAGAAACCCUGUCUUCAAAAGACCAACCAACCAACCAAAAAACUCCACCCUGGUUGCUCCUCCUUAGAGGCAAGCUAUGGAUGGCUACAAUGUAAUUAUUUGUUUUUAGUUCUGAAUCCAAAAUUUUAUCACAACUCCCAACAUAUUCUGGGAGGUAGAAGAAAAAUGGCUCCCAAAGUCUACGACUUAUGGGCUGAUCAUGGUGGCCACAGCUUUUGAUACUAGCACUCAGGGAGACAGAGGCAGAUAGAUCUAGGACAGCCUAGUCUAUAUAGUUCGAGAACAAAAACCAAACACAAAGGCCUACAAAUCCAUCCCAUCUCUACAAUUUUAGACAGUUAGCCAACUUCUCAGUCUUUAUUUUCCUCACCAAAACAAACCUUACCCACAAGGACUGAUGAACCCUGAGAAAAGUACACAAGAAGAGUGGUCAAUUCAGGGAAGCCCUGAGGAUCCAGAGAGCAAACUCAACCCAUCAAGUCACUAGGGUAGAUAAAGAGCUAGGGACCUUUGUCCUGACUCUGUCCAAUGCCCUCAGAUGAAGUGCAGUCUACCCAGCAAGCCACCAGAUGGCCUCAGCAGGACGCUGAGCUCAGGAAGAAUGCUACUCAGCUACAGCAGCUGCCAUCCACAGACCCCAAGCUGCUGAAACAGAUCAGGAAG